CAUUUGUGUGAGCCACGUAGAAUCCGACGUGGCCAAGAUGACGUGGCAUUGUUAGUGACCAAUUCGAAUCAUCAUAGGUUUUAAAGCCCAAUCGACCAAUCUAGCUUAUAUGGGCCUGGCCCAAUACCUAUUUUACUAUUGAAAAUGCCUGAUUUGUUUUGUUUGAAGCAUUAUUUUGCUAGAAGCACUCAAAUUACAAGAUAGGUCCAUUAAAAAACAAAUACAACAACAGGAUAAAAGAUUGCAGAUAAACUGUAUAUUUCAUUUCAGUACCACAACACAUGAAAUACAAUACAUCAUUCACCGACUCCUCCACACAUUAAGGUUCAAGGCCUGACAAGUGACAUCAAAAUAAUUUUACAAGUGCACAACAGAAUACUUCUGCAGGUGCAAGUGCACAGAAAAAGGACCCAACAAGUACACAAUCGCACAUAAAGAGAGUUAGACAAAGAUUAAAUGAGAAGCACAAGUUUCUUCUCAUCCUCUUUCUCUGCAUAAUAUGCCAUUCUUGCCAUUGAUGCUUGCAAGAAGAAAAUGAUUAUUUGCCAUUGACACCUGCAAGAAAGCACGAUUCAGAUGUGUUGCAUCAUCAAAGUCAAGAGUCGAGAAAUGAACAAGGUCAUAGAAAACAUCAUCUAACACAAAUACAAAUUCGCAGUUACUUUAAUUGGCUGCGAGACAUUUCAAAACAAAAUAUUUUUUUCAUGCACUUUAGUGAUACUUUGUGAAGGCUUAUUACAACCAGUAGUAACUAGUUAAAAUAGUUCUAGUUAACAGCAGUGCUACUAGCAUCAGGUCUACUAACAAGUAACAGCAGUGCAUUUAACAGAAAUAGGGAAAAGAACAAUACGAUUAUGCAUCUGCACACUUCACUAGCAGUAUGUUAUACCUUCAGACUCCUACUACUGCAUUGUUGACUUCUGUGCAAAUGGAGAACAUGUUGGGCGCACCUAUAUCAUGAUGGCUGAGAUCUGAAUUGGCUUCAAGAGUGCACUAUUAUGGUAUGUAGGGUAUUCUUGUGAAGAUCCUACACGCCAUUAGAUUUCAAAAGUAAAUGACAACAGUUAUGGUGAAU
rnacentral:lncRNA from 1 species